rnacentral:lncRNA from 1 species
AGCCUCUCAAAGCAUUUAUAGGGUCUGAAUAAGGUAGACAAGGGAUUUGUGAGUCCUGAUUCAGUCCAAAGAUGCAACUCGAACUCAUGAACCAACCAGCUCUAGUUGUAGUGUUGGGUAUGUUGCAUAGCACAUGAUGUCAUUUAAACCAUUCACCUAAUGUAUAGCCUUAUCUUCUCUAGAUAUGGACAACCGACUGAUCAUCACAAUCUUUUUUGUGACGUUGUCGUCAGCCGUCAUUGCCGCCAAGGGUCAAAAAACACUUGGAACAACAGCAACUCCAACCAUUGGAUAUGAGACGACUACGGAAAAGAACAUUAUUGUAUCACCAACGGCAGCAGAGAAUGAAGAAGUAACUCCAACUGAUACAGGAAAUGCGAUGACCCCAGUGGAUCGCACUGGCUGUUCAACAGACCGGAUCUGUCUGGCUGAGCCUUCCGACUGUAACCCUAAUGCAUCAUCACAAUGUAUCUUUGCAUCGGCCAGGCAGACUGUGGGUCAAAACUUUGAAUUAAUUCUCUCGGGAGAGACAGUUGGCUACAUUGCUGCCACCCUGUCAACAGACACUCUACUGGGAGGUAACGACACAACCUAUGUGUGUGCAAGGGGCAAAGGAGAUGUCAUUCACUUCUUUACUGCUUUGCUUGACAAUAACCAGCUCAUCUUGACCAAUUCGACUGCUACAACUGUGAGAGGCCGCACAAAUGGAACCAGGUUGGAGUGCGCUUUUAACGCCUCAAUACCCGACUACUCAUCAUCCUUAAAACAGAUUCGGGCAAGCAGCUUGUCAGGCAUGAUCAGCACUGGACAUUUCGACCCCGUCAGCGGUGCACUGGGAACCCCCACCGCAAGGAUGAUGUCUAAUGUUGUAAACCUAAUGGACCCUACCAGCAACACCACCAAUUUCAAUUCCAACAUCACCACCACUUUGUCUAGUUUCUCCACCGUCCUCCAUCAUUCCCUGAUUCAAGGUAAGCUGAAGAUAACUCAGCCGUAUUCAUUAUCCAGAAAUGCUCUUAUUUCGAAAUAAUAAUAAUAAUAAUAACAGUGUCUGACUUUUGUUGCUAUGUCUUUUUCCGCAGCUCUGCUGGUGCCCCUGGUCAUCAUAAGUCUGGCCCUGGUAUGAGGGAACCCCCCAAAUAACUGCGAUACUGAUUAGGAACUACAAAAGGGGUCACCGGAUGUUUAGCAUACUAAGUUUGGUUUAAUGUUGCAAUGAUUCAGGUCGGGUGAUUGGUAGUAUGAAUAUCUGAAUUUUACUUUUAAAAAAAACAAAACUAAAAAAACUUCUUAGAGUUGAAGGAAUGAUUUCUCUUAUGAAGAUGACAUUUAUCCGCUAAAUGUCCGAAAUUAAAUUCAUUAUUUACUCACACUCAGACUAUUUAAACUACUAUGAAUGUUAUUCACUUGUUGAAAGUAUUGGGUUAAUCGUUGACUUACUGCGGUUUGAUAAUGUUCCUGAUAACAAUACAAUUUAAAUGUAUUUUUUUUUCUUUUAUCGACCCUCAAUGAUGGAAAGUUGGCAGAUGAAGGAACUGCGUUGAGCUGCAGCUAUGCUAUGCUAAUAUAUAUAUAUUUAUAUAUUUAUAUGCGCUAAACGAGUGCUUCUCAAACUUUUCAUGUUGCACCCCCUACCCCCAGCGCAACAAAAUUGGUACAAAAUGUAACCUGUAACUCUUGAAAGUAGCAUAAAAUUUAUAACCGCAUACAUUAUAACAGUAAUAACGAAGUACUUUGAGUGCGAAGAAAAGAAUAGUUUUAAUAUUUUCUGGCUCAAUGUUUAGCAAGGCUGUUCUUUCACCCUCCCCCCACAGUUUGGGAAGCAUUGCGCUAAGCUAACAUAUAACAUCAAAAAGUAAAAUUAAGUUGUAUUUUGAGCUAAAACAAAACAGUUAAUGGUGAACACGUACUUAACUAUGUAUGUUUCCUUUCUUUGGUGUUUGUUCUUUUAUUCUUUUAUUUGAAGUAUUUCUUUAGCGGCUGUAACACAAGAAAUUUCUCUCUGGG